rnacentral:lncRNA from 1 species
UGAAGGGACAGUUAGAGGGUGAGAGAAAGUAAAGAAUGCCCCAUUGUGCCUCAAGAGUCAAAGGUGCGAGCAGGCUGCCCAGGAUUGCAGGCUGUUUCCCGCCAUGCAGAGUGAACACGGGCUGCGAGCGUGCAUUGCAUGGUCGUGACCUCGCGACCCCCUUGGUGCUGCGCCCUUCUCAGCCCCAGCAGGAUGGGCUGGUCCUGAAGAGAUUCCCCGGUUGGAAGCUGGC